AUGAACGCUAGCUACAGGCUUAACACAUGCAAGUCGAGGGGCAUCAGGAAGAAAGCUUGCUUUCUUUGCUGGCGACCGGCGCACGGGUGAGUAACACGUAUCCAACCUGCCCUUUACUCGGGGAUAGCCUUUCGAAAGAAAGAUUAAUACCCGAUAGCAUAAUGAUUCCGCAUGGUUUCAUUAUUAAAGGAUUCCGGUAAAGGAUGGGGAUGCGUUCCAUUAGGUUGUUGGUGAGGUAACGGCUCACCAAGCCUUCGAUGGAUAGGGGUUCUGAGAGGAAGGUCCCCCACAUUGGAACUGAGACACGGUCCAAACUCCUACGGGAGGCAGCAGUGAGGAAUAUUGGUCAAUGGGCGUUAGCCUGAACCAGCCAAGUAGCGUGAAGGAUGAAGGCUCUAUGGGUCGUAAACUUCUUUUAUAUAAGAAUAAAGUGCAGUAUGUAUACUGUUUUGUAUGUAUUAUAUGAAUAAGGAUCGGCUAACUCCGUGCCAGCAGCCGCGGUAAUACGGAGGAUCCGAGCGUUAUCCGGAUUUAUUGGGUUUAAAGGGAGCGUAGGUGGACUGGUAAGUCAGUUGUGAAAGUUUGCGGCUCAACCGUAAAAUUGCAGUUGAUACUGUCAGUCUUGAGUACAGUAGAGGUGGGCGGAAUUCGUGGUGUAGCGGUGAAAUGCUUAGAUAUCACGAAGAACUCCGAUUGCGAAGGCAGCUCACUGGACUGCAACUGACACUGAUGCUCGAAAGUGUGGGUAUCAAACAGGAUUAGAUACCCUGGUAGUCCACACAGUAAACGAUGAAUACUCGCUGUUUGCGAUAUACAGUAAGCGGCCAAGCGAAAGCAUUAAGUAUUCCACCUGGGGAGUACGCCGGCAACGGUGAAACUCAAAGGAAUUGACGGGGGCCCGCACAAGCGGUGGAGCAUGUGGUUUAAUUCGAAGCAACGCGAAGAACCUUACCAAGUCUUGACAUCCCUCUGACCGACUCUUAAUCGAGUCUUUCCUUCGGGACAGAGGAGACAGGUGGUGCAUGGUUGUCGUCAGCUCGUGUCGUGAGAUGUUGGGUUAAGUCCCGCAACGAGCGCAACCCUUAUCUUCAGUUACUAACAGGUCAUGCUGAGGACUCUGGAGAGACUGCCGUCGUAAGAUGUGAGGAAGGUGGGGAUGACGUCAAAUCAGCACGGCCCUUACGUCCGGGGCUACACACGUGUUACAAUGGGGGGUACAGAAGGCAGCUAGCGGGUGACCGUAUGCUAAUCCCAAAAUCCUCUCUCAGUUCGGAUCGAAGUCUGCAACCCGACUUCGUGAAGCUGGAUUCGCUAGUAAUCGCGCAUCAGCCACGGCGCGGUGAAUACGUUCCCGGGCCUUGUACACACCGCCCGUCACACCAUGGGAGUCAGUAACGCCCGAAGUCAGUGACCUAACCGCAAGGGAGGAGCUGCCGAAGGCGGGACCGAUAACUGGGGUG
rnacentral:rRNA from 1 species